rnacentral:rRNA from 1 species
GACGAACGCUGGCGGCGUGCUUAACACAUGCAAGUCGAGCGGGAUCCAACCGGUGGCAACACCGGGGAAGAUCUAGCGGCGAACGGGUGAGUAACACGUGAGCAACCUGCCCCGAAGACUGGGAUAACACCGGGAAACCGGUGCUAAUACCGGAUGUCGUCAUUAGGCCGCAUGACCUGAUGAUGAAAGGAUUCAUCGCUUCGGGGAGGGGCUCGCGGGCUAUCAGCNGGUUGGUGGGGUAACGGCCUACCAAGGCGACGACGGCUAGCUGGUCUGAGAGGACGACCAGCCACACUGGGACUGAGACACGGCCCAGACUCCUACGGGAGGCAGCAGUGGGGGAUAUUGCGCAAUGGGCGAAAGCCUGACGCAGCGACGCCGCGUGGGUGA